rnacentral:rRNA from 1 species
AGCAGCCGCGGUAAUUCCAGCUCCAAUAGCGUAUAUUAAAGUUGUUGCAGUUAAAAAGCUCGUAGUUGAAUUUCGGGAUUGACGUGACGGUCGUGCCUUAAGGGGCGUGAACUGUCGCCGUUGAUUUCUCACCUUCUGGAGAAGCUCGAUGUCCUUAAUUGGAUGUCUUGUGGAACCAGGACCUUUACCUUGAAAAAAAUUAGAGUGUUUAAAGCAGGCAUUUUGCUCGAAUACAUUAGCAUGGAAUAAUAGAAUAGGACGGCAUGGUUCUAUUUGUUGGUUUCUAGGAUCACCGUAAUGAUUAAUAGGGAUAGUUGGGGGUCAUUAGUAUUCAAAUUGUCAGAGGUGAAAUUCUUGGAUUUAUUGAAGACUAACUACUGCGAAAGCAUUUGCCAAGGAUGUUUUCNUUAAUCAAGAACGAAGUUAGGGGAUCGAAGACGAUCAGAUACCGUCGUAGUCUUAAACCAUAAACUAUGCCGACUAGGAAUCAGACGAUGUUAAUUUUUAAUGACUCGUUU